rnacentral:rRNA from 1 species
UAUGCAGUCGAGCGAACUGAUUAGAAGCUUGCUUCUAUGACGUUAGCGGCGGACGGGUGAGUAACACGUGGGCAACCUGCCUGUAAGAGUGGGAUAACUUCGGGAAACCGAAGCUAAUACCGGAGAGGAGCUUCUCCUUCAUGGGAGAGGAUUGAAAGAUGGUUUCGGCUAUCACUUACAGAUGGGCCCGCGGUGCAUUAGCUAGUUGGUGAGGUAACGGCUCACCAAGGCAACGAUGCAUAGCCGACCUGAGAGGGUGAUCGGCCACACUGGGACUGAGACACGGCCCAGACUCCUACGGGAGGCAGCAGUAGGGAAUCUUCCGCAAUGGACGAAAGUCUGACGGAGCAACGCCGCGUGAGUGAUGAAGGCUUUCGGGUCGUAAAACUCUGUUGUUAGGGAAGAACAAGUACGAGAGUAACUGCUCGUACCUUGACGGUACCUAACCAGAAAGCCACGGCUAACUACGUGCCAGCAGCCGCGGUAAUACGUAGGUGGCAAGCGUUAUCCGGAAUUAUUGGGCGUAAAGCGCGCGCAGGCGGUUUCUUAAGUCUGAUGUGAAAGCCCACGGCUCACCCGUGGAGGGUCAUUGGAAACUGGGGAACUUGAGUGCAGAAGAGAAAAGCGGAAUUCCCGGUGUAGCGGUGAAAUGCGUAGAGAUUUUGGAGGAACACCAGUUGGCGAAGGCGGCUUUUUUGGU